AUUGAACGCUGGCGGCAGGCCUAACACAUGCAAGUCGAGCGGGGUUUUCGGACCUAGCGGCGGACGGGUGAGUAAUGCGUAGGAAGCUACCCGAUAGAGGGGGAUACCAGUUGGAAACGACUGUUAAUACCGCAUAAUGUCUACGGACCAAAGUGUGGGACCUUCGGGCCACAUGCUAUCGGAUGCGCCUACGUGGGAUUAGCUAGUUGGUGGGGUAAUGGCUCACCAAGGCGACGAUCCCUAGCUGGUUUGAGAGGAUGAUCAGCCACACUGGAACUGAGACACGGCCCAGACUCCUACGGGAGGCAGCAGUGGGGAAUAUUGGACAAUGGGCGCAAGCCUGAUCCAGCCAUGCCGCGUGUGUGAAGAAGGCCUUCGGGUUGUAAAGCACUUUCAGUAGGGAGGAAGGGUUAAGUGUUAAUAGUACUUAACUUUGACGUUACCUACAGAAGAAGCACCGGCUAACUCGGUGCCAGCAGCCGCCGCCGUAA
rnacentral:rRNA from 1 species